UACGAAGGGGGCUAGCGUUGCUCGGAAUCACUGGGCGUAAAGGGUGCGUAGGCGGGUCUUUAAGUCAGAGGUGAAAUCCUGGAGCUCAACUCCAGAACUGCCUUUGAUACUGAGGAUCUUGAGUUCGGGAGAGGUGAGUGGAACUGCGAGUGUAGAGGUGAAAUUCGUAGAUAUUCGCAAGAACACCAGUGGCGAAGGCGGCUCACUGGCCCGGAACUGACGCUGAGAUGCGAAAGCGUGGGGAGCAAACAGG
rnacentral:rRNA from 1 species